UGGCGUAAUGAUGGCCAGGCUGUCUCCACCCGAGACUCAGUGAAAUUGAACUCGCUGUGAAGAUGCAGUGUACCCGCGGCAAGACGGAAAGACCCCGUGAACCUUUACUAUAGCUUGACACUGAACAUUGAGCCUUGAUGUGUAGGAUAGGUGGGAGGCAACGAAGUGUGGACGCCAGUCUGCACGGAGCCAUCCUUGAAAUACCACCCUUUAACGUUUGAUGUUCUAACCCGGGUCCAUAAUCUGGAUCGGGGACCGUGUCUGGUGGGUAGUUUGACUGGGGCGGUCUCCUCCCAAAGAGUAACGGAGGAGCACGAAGGUUGGCUAAGCAUGGUCGGACAUCAUGCGGUUAGUGCAAAGGCAUAAGCCAGCUUGACUGCGAGAGUGACGGCUCGAGCAGGUACGAAAGUAGGUCUUAGUGAUCCGGUGGUUCUGAAUGGAAGGGCCAUCGCUCAACGGAUAAAAGGUACUCCGGGGAUAACAGGCUGAUACCGCCCAAGAGUUCAUAUCGACGGCGGUGUUUGGCACCUCGAUGUCGGCUCA
rnacentral:rRNA from 1 species